AUCCUACGGGGCGCAGCAGUGGGGGAUAUUGGACAAUGGGGGGAACCCUGAUCCAGCGACGCCGCGUGAGUGAAGAAGUAUUUCGGUAUGUAAGGCUCUGUCAGCAGGGAAGAAAGAAAUGACGGUACCUGACCAAGAAGCCCCGGCUAACUACGUGCCAGCAGCCGCGGUAAUACGUAAGGGGCAAGCGUUAUCCGGAAUUACUGGGUGUAAAGGGAGCGUAGACGGUGGAGCAAGUCUGAUGUGAAAAUCCGGGUCCCAACCCCGGAA
rnacentral:rRNA from 1 species